rnacentral:piRNA from 1 species
GACGCCUUCACGAGUGUCUUCUCAUUCCCA